GUCUGUAGAAAAUCACCUUUAGCCUCUACCUUGGCCAUGGGUGAGAUCCGGCGCCUAAAGCCAGUGGGGCCUCAGCUUACUGCCCGCGCACUGCACACAGGUGAAACCCAGGCCCCUACACAA
ensembl:snoRNA